UUUUUUUUUUUGUUUUGAAUCACAAACCCUUGUAAUUAUAUAAGUUAUUAGCAUAAAAAAAAGAAAAAGAAAAAGCAAUCAUCGUUUGAAAGGCUUCAUCAAUUAACAAUUGAUACUUGAAAUAUUAUUAGUCAGUGCACAAGUGUUUGGCUAUCUAAAAUUCAUUGAAGUGAAAUGAGUUCAAGCCUUUCUUUUAACUAAAAUUCUUUUUUACUACAUUUAUCUUUCCCUAUCUUAUUUGUAAUUACAGAUAAUAAACAAAUGGGCAGUAUAGUUUACUCGAAGCAUACGGCGCCGCACUAUGUUUCAGAUUAGAUCCGUGUCUCAUCUCUCAUUCCUCCGUCCUCCGUCCUCCGUCUUGGCUGUCUUGUAGCCAUCAGAAUGUGCGUAGCGAACGAGACAAAGUGUGUUCUUUUAACCCCUCAGAAUGUGCACAGCGUAUAAGACAACAGAGAAUGCUAAUCGGAGGAAAGGGUAGGGUUGGUGGAUCCCAUUAGCCCUUCUUUAUGUUCUCAUGGAUCUCUCCUCCGAGGGUGGGGUAGCCGCGCAGGAGUACGUCCUUUUAAUUGGAUCAGUCCCACAGCAACAAUGAAUGCCGCGAUAACAAGCUCUUUGUCCUCGUGUGUACUGCUUUUUUUCUGGACCUGCCAUGGAUUCCUCAUGCUUUCGAAAUGGCGUUCACGCAAAAGGUACGAAUACGAAACAGGACGACGAUAUUUUAGAGGAAGUCCACUCACAACCACCACAUGGAUGCCGUCGGUUCUCCAAAAUAUUAGUACGUAAGGAAAAGGGAAGAGUGAAAAGUGAAGUCUAAAGAGAAGAAAAGAAAAGCCUCCAAAGGAUCACCAUCUAAGUUAGCAAGAUUCCUAUAGAAAAGUGAUGAAACUAUAUUACCAUAUUUAGUAAGUUAGUUCCACGUUGGUCGAGUGUAUGAAGAUCACAUAGUAUUAUGAUCAUAUCAUUCGACAUAUUGCCACAUUUAAUUUUACAUUAAUUCAGUUGAAAAGUCAAAACCUCAUAAAGAUCUGAGGCCAAGCUAGAAUUAUUUCUCACAGACCUCAGAGUACUCUGCAUCGUCGGUCAUUGCAAUGACCGUAGUAUUAUGAUCAGAUCCCUCAUCCUAAUAUCCAUAAAGAAAAUUGAAUCCGAUUGAUUCAAGUUGGGGUUAAAACUUAUUGCUAUUAUACCCAAUUAGACCCACAAGGGGUAGAGUUCUUCACAUGGGCUCAACUUGUGAGCCCAAAUAAAAUCAUAUUAUCGGCCGCCGAGUCAAACUAGUGAUGAGUUCACCAGAAAAAAAGAAUAUAUAUAUACAUAGAGUUGUUGCUUUAAGUAACACAACUAGAUUUGUUUCUUGAAACGAAAAAAGAGAAAAAAACAGUAGGCAAAAGUCUUAGCUUUACUGAAUAGUUUUGACCCGCAACGAAGCAAAUCUCGGAUAAAGCAUGAAAAAGAUGGCAUCAGCUACGCAUUGAUAUAUUAAUUCAUUCUCAUCAAUAUAUCCCCCAAACAAUAUGAACAAAAAUCGAAGAAAGCGGAGUUAAUUGUGGCCAAGCAUGUUUUUUUCUGCAUCAAUAUUCCGCGUAUAUUAUGAUAUUAGCACAGAAUAAAGGAAGAGGCAUCUUACUCCAUCAUGCACAUGGGUUCACUAAACACCGCUCAUCUUUCUAGUUUGCUCAGCAAAGCUUCCAUUGGUGGCAACUCCUUCACAAUCUCUUGCCAAUCCGGCAUGCCCUGGGUAUGAAAAAUACAGUAAGGUGGUAGUAGAAUACUCCAAGAGUAUAACUUGCUCUUUAUACGGGUUUCAAAAAUUUUACUGUGUCAUGUUGUUGUCGAUUCACAGAGAUACGCAUUCGUCUUCCCUAGUUUAGCUAAUUCAGCAGCGAUGAACUACUUUCCAGUCGUCAAAAAGGAUGAACUUUAUGACUGGAUCGAGCAAAAAAUUCCAGUUUUGCUAAAGAAACUAUACCUUCCCUGACUUUCGAACACGUCCAUCUAGACGCAGAAUUAUGAAAACGUCAUCACCAGGAUCAAGGACUCCUUCGGACUUUUGCUGAUCACGUAUCCAUCUGAACAUCACACACAUGAUUAAAGCUAUACUUUGGGCAAAUUUUAAAAGAACCAAGAAAUGGACUACUACAUGUUUUCUUAUACUUUUACUACAAAAACAACAAGAAAAUGCAUCCAGCACAAGACGACUUCAGCUAAUUCUUUCAGGUGGCUCAUUUAUUCAUUAAGCUUAAACAAGAAAUUGAGCAAGAUAUAAAAAAAUAGAAAUGAUGAACAAAUACAAGUGAAAGCUUGUCGGUGGUUGAGAUAAUUUUUUUAACAACUGGUUGAGAUAAGUGAUCAGAUAGCAAAAAAUACCAACUUGUAUGGCCGCUUAAACUUGGAAGUGAGAACUGGGCCCAGUUUUGCCGGUACGGGUAAAAAAAAAAGGAAAUAUUCUCGUAGAUCUAUUGAUUAUUGUGACAGGAUUAAGAAAUACAUAGAGAGAUUUACAAUAUAUAAGAUAAAAGAAAUGAUACAGUUGGCCUUAAUCAAGGGGUACUAACUAAGUACUAACAAAAUCCCAAGUUUGAACAAGUGAAGGGCUAGGUCAAUUUGAGACUGAGAAAGAAUUAUGUUUGUCUAAUUUUGUGAAUUUUAGCUGGUUUUCACCAUUGCUUUAGUUGUAAAUUAUAAUUUUCGUAAUAAUAGCACUUUUGUGUUGGUUUAGCAAGAGCUCAGAUGGUUUGACUUUAUACUGUGAUGAUCCAAAGACAUGAUAGGGGUAAAAUAGCACUGAAAAAUUAUCUUAAAGAGAAUUAUCUGGCUAAAGAUUUAAAUUCUGUACACAUUGCACAGGUGAAAGAUCUCUCGCUUAAUUUCCAACAUUUUUUUCUUCAAAUCUCAUCAAGUUUGUUCUCUAUCUCUCUUAAUUAUCUAUCACAUACAACAGUUGCUGAGUUGAAUGCUGAAAUGCAAAGAAAUAAUCAGAUCGCAUUCCUUUAUCUCCUUCAGCCACUACUGAGCUUACCAAGGAAUAUUCAUAUUGUAUUCAAAUUUAUUAGUGCAAAACUCAUAUACGUUGAGGUCUGCAAAAAGCCAUCAGAGAGGUCUGGACCCAUGAAAAAAUGAUUAUGAGUGUUGAGGAUGUAUUUAUUAUAUGAAUUAAAUCCAAUGCAUCAAGCAAAACAUGUAGGAGGUAGCUAAAUAAUGUUUGGGUUUGAAAAUAUAUAGAUGAGCAAUUUGUAUAUUAGAUAGUUAUGAGAACAUGUGGCUAGGAUCAAGUACAAGUAACUGUCGCUAAAAUUUUGAAAAUUAUAUUUUAAAUAUGUAAACCAACUUGAAAGAAUACAUUAAGAGUCAAUUUCACUUACCUUUCCCAUUCAUAAGGAGAUACUAUCUCAGCCUUGAAGCGCACCUCAGCUUUCAAUCGUGACUUUGCAGUUAUAGAUUGAGUUCGUUGUUCAAAAUCAUCCUACCAAAAUGCAAUUGUAUUUUACGGCAAUAACAUCAAUGAUGCUAGUAUAGCUACACAUAUAUAGUCUGAACAGUAUAAGUUACUAUAUUUAGCAUAUACCCUAAACAUACACAUUUGCAAACAUAUAGAAGGAAAAAAGUUGAGAGAUUAUCAGGAAGACAACACAAAGAACAUGGUACGACAUGAGAAUACCCGAGCAUCUUCUGUUGAUUAAUUUUCAUGGUAUGACAUGAGAAUACCUUAGGUGACUAGUAGAUAGACUCACAUCUACAUUCCUACUACAUCUGUGAUCAAGCUAACAACUAACAAUUUACAUUAGCUAGAUUCUUUACCCAAAUUUGGAAGUAUGAUGACCCGAUGAUCCCAUAAAGAGAGUUGGCCUGUUGGAUCAGCAAGAUGGGGACAUCUUUGGGCAGACUAUCAUCAGAACCCUAAAGGUGAAUUUUGGAUCAGGCCAGAUUCAUUGACAUCAAGCUUUUGACUAGUGAAGACUGAAUGUCCCAGUAGUCCCACAUCACUAUGGACUAGGUUAUUAUAUGUUUAGAGAUAGAUGACUUUAAAACUAACAACUACGACUCAAGGAUUUUGGCUCACAUGGUUCUAAUGCUGUUACAUCAUAGUUAUUAGGUUAGUCUAUCGGGCUAGAACAUGAUGAUUGAUCUUAAAGUAACUUCAGGCUUCUCUGGGUGGGCUGACACAUGACAAGAUGGGGGUUACUUUAUGUAGACUGAAAUGUGAAUUUCUUUGGGUUAGACUCCCAUUAGAAUCUCAGAUGUUUUGGACUCUUGACAAGGAUGUCAAACAUUUAAUUGGGGAAGAUUUUAAGACCACAAUAUUUCCACAUAGACAAUUGAAGUUGAAUAAAAUUAGUACAGUUAGUAGUUGAACUUGAGCAUUUUGGACCACAUGGAUGUAUACCCAUUAUAUUUGAGCUACAAAUUCAAUAAGUCUACUGGGCCAGGAUGUCAAAAUUCCUGUUCUUUGACUCAUAAACUAACAAAAAUGUAGCAACAAUAGCUAAAAUUGAUUUAAACUCAAAAAAGAUUCUGUUAUGGUGUAAUUUCAACCCCAUUUGAACCUAACUCUAGCCGAAGCCAAUGCCAAAGAAUAAAAGAAAGAGGAACAAGUAGAUAGCAAACAAACUCCUAAUUGAAUAACCAAAAAAACCAAAAGAACAAUAAUGGACCAGUUCCCAUGGCCUAUGAUGAGUUCCCAGAGAAAGUAAAUUGGUGCUUUGAUACUUGAAAACUACUUCAGGUGUAAUUGCAUAGGUAUAUAUAAGUGCAGAAGACAUCCCAUAAGAGCAACUCAAAGGUCCAUUUUAUGCAUUUUACUGACCAAGCCACACAUUUUUGCAUUUAAAUAGACAAACAAAUAAAUCUGACCCCAAUUGAAGGAAGAGAUGAAGCAGAUUUUGCAGGAACACCAAAGCCCUUUUUCUCAAUGGAAGCCUUGCUAUAAUCACCCCAGAUAACAGGAAUCAGAAGAACACCUCGCUUAAGCAGUUCAGUUCGGAACCUUUCAGCCUUCUCCAUUGCUCUUGAAACAGUCUCCUUCUUCCCUGCCAAAAUUACCUAAAGUAUUGUUCAUAUAAGACCUCCAAGUUUCUUGUAAAAUUUGUAAGUGCAGAAAAAUUGAAGAAACAAAAAUGGUUUCCAAAACAAUAAAAGCUAACUUCAUCUCAUACAAUGUACAUACAAAAGAAUGGAAUUAGUCUCCUGAACAAAUGGCAUCUAACAUAGCAGAAAAGUGACACUAACCGGCCUAUAAGUGUCCCGAAGCUGCACAAGUUCAACAAUCCGAUUAGUUGAAAGACGCACAGGCAAUCUUGAGAGAGUUUCAUCACGUGAUAUUUGAGCAAGCUGUUCCUCUUCCUUCUUGUUGUCCCAGAUGAACAACACCACAAGAACAACAAUGCCUACAGAGUGCUGAUUCAAAAGCUUGAUCAAUUUAAAGAAGUGAUUUCCAAAUACCAACGAAGUGCACUUUCAAGAAUUGAAGGCGUCAAUUUGAUUAAACAAAAUUGUCUUCAUGGUAUAUAUACUAUAAUCAUUUACCGCCAAUGUUGAUGGCAGCAUUUCCAGCAGUCUCCCAAAGAUCAGGAGCCCCAUCACCACCAUUGAUUGCACGUAUGAGUCUGGGAACUGUAAAAAACAUAGAAAUCCCAGCUGCAGCAGAAAAAGCCACAUAAAAGAAUCUUCUCACGCCACGAAAUGGUGCUUGAACUUCACUAAUGAGUUUGAGAUCUCUUCGAAAUCCAUAUCCUAUGUCUUCACCUCCCAGCCUGGCCUACAAAAGCAUGAGAGGAAAAAAAAAUUGUUUCCAUAGCAUGGAAAAAUAGCCUGAAUCAAAAUAAGAACUUAGAUACACAUGAAAAUGCAAACUGAACAGAUGGACAACCUCUUCUUGCAGUUGUUUAAAUUCUGGUAAAGCUCUGAAUGAGGCUAAGUCAGGAUCAUUCAGAAUAGUGCUGAAUUUGAGAUUGUAAUCUCGCAAAGCAGCUCGCAAACAUUCUGCUGCUUGCUUUCCUUCACCUCUAAAACAAGAACAAAAUUUUAAACAAAAAUCACCUAAGAAAAAGAAAAAAAACCCACAAAGAAAGCAAGAAUAUGGAAAAAAAGAGAUGCAAGGGGAAGAAUGCUAGCAUACAAUAGAUCCUAUUUCUUCCAAAUGAUGACAGGCAUUUUACUACCCAGAAAAAAAAUCAAACAAGGAAACUAAAAUUAUGGAGAAAUAGUAAAUUAGAUGCCUGCAUUGUAUCUCAAAACCAUAAAAGAUUUCUCUAGGCCGUCUAACAUAUCAAAUAAAAUGCUAGACAUUAAUUACAUCAUUUCAAAAUUUCAGGACUUACUAAAACAGAAGAACACAGCUUAAAAUCAUCCAGCAGAAAACUGGACAACAAACACUUAGCAAAAGAAGUUGGUUCUUGGUGCCUGAAUUGCUAAGCACAAAUCAAGCAUCCAGUGUCCUAUUUAUCAACCUCAUUAAUACUGAUUGCAACAGAAUAGAAAAAGCACCAAUAGAGUUAAUUAUCCCUUGUGCACCUCUCACCUAGACAAAUCCAUCAUUUCAUGAACUCACUUUUUUGACAGUCAAAUAUUAAAUAAAACACCAACUUGAUUUCACACUCAAGGACAACUCUAGAUGAAUCUUGAAAGCUACAACCUCCGCCGUCCUCAAUUCCAUAGUUAUUUUGUACAAUUUAUUUUAAAUACCCCACUGAACUAUAACAAUCAAACUGGAACCAGAAGAAGUUUUUAGUUCAGCCUCAUCUUAAUUGGGAUUCUGUAGUCCUGCUAAUUAGCUCCUUUACUAUUAUGAUGAUGUAUAAGGCUGACAUCAUUGUAAUAUACCAAUGUGACAUAUCAAAUGAUACAAAUGAUGGAAUGCAGGAUUUAUAAAAAAGUUCAAAAAGAUUAAAUUAUAGCACUAUUGUUUAACAUUUAAAAAAAAUCUUGUGAGUGCAUUACCAUGUCAUUUUUUCUCUCAAGCAUUAGGUUAUAAUAGGAGAAAGUAACAAAUUUCUUAACUGACAUAUAGUUUAUCCAUUGAAGAGCUUUUGAAAAGACAACAGAUUGACUUCCCAAAUUUCAAGAUUUACCCCUCAAUAGGAUCCCUACUUAUCGCAAAAAAUGAGCAAAUAGUAUUAAUUAAUUACUUGCCCUGAAAAUUUUUCCAACCAUGAGGGCUUAAUCCCUAGAAGAUAAGGAAACUCCAUAUCUACAUGCAGCACCAAAGUCACAAUUAUAUUUGAUUUCCAUGUAUCUAAACAUUCUAGCAGAGGAUAGAGAUUUUUUACUUGUAUGCAUGGCAGCAAGCUUUGUUGUACAGUGCUGCUUGGGCUUCCAUAGGAUUUGGAUUUAAAGAAAGGGCAUUCUCAAACUGCACAAGAGCUUCUUUCACCUAUCACAUUUUCAGUCAUGCACACGGAAAUGUGAGAUAAAGACGUAAGAAUAUGAUGAAAUGAUGAAAAGAAAAGAAGGUAUAACGAACAGUAGACUUUAAGCCAGAUUCCUUAUUACAGCAAUGAUGAAAAGAAAAGAAGGUAAGAUUAUUAUGGAACAAGCACAUAGACACAAUUUGAAAGAAAAGCAUUUGAAUGAAGGAGUAGCACAAUAUAGCAUAUAAAUGUUCCUCCUAGGUAACUUGUCUUGUCCUCUCUUUCCUGACAUAAAUUAAUGCAUCUUGAGACUGUAACAUUUUCAGUAGAAACCCAUCCUCUUCUUUUUAUGUGAUAGAAUUUUGCAAGGACAUUAUUGGCCUCAAAAGACAACCAUAUGGCAUAUGUUUAAGAUCAGUACACAUGGCCCUUGUCAUGAUGUUUUGAUGAAGAGACCAAGCCUCCAGAUGAACUAUGUACAAUCAAAGUAUGGUGUUCAGUUCAAGGAAUUAUGCUGCCACAGAUUUUUCUCUUUUAUUUCUGCCUUUCCAUAAAUAUUUCGGAGCUUUCAGUACACUUUUCAAGUAGCACUGUUUUUGGUCCCCUUCCCUUAUUUUCAUGUUGACAGCUCUUUCCUCGUCGCUUCUCUCUUAACUUCAAAUUGGUCUCCUCCACCAUCCCUUUUCAAGUAUUGAAAUUGUCUACAACUCGAUGCAACUGUUUUUAGGAUUUUCUGGUUUUCGAUCAUUUUUCAUUCCAAACGAAAGAAGUCUUUUCUUCCUCUGUUGAUCACACAAUACGAUUAAUCCCUUCAACAUAGUUAGCCUAUUUCAGCAACAUGAUUGUCGUAUUGGUUCAUCAUUUCCGUACCCUCAGCAACAAACACAAUCUCCUUGCUAAAUAGAUGGCAAUCUUUGGGUUGCUAGAAACAGUAUCUGAAAACUUCGUGUUUUUGUUUGCUUUAUGUUGCAAACUCAUGUAAUAGAUCUCUUUGCAACAGUCACACGAUCGUACUAAUCCAUUGUGCACACUAUGGUCCAUCAUGAAUUUGACAAGGAAACAACAGGAAUCUUUAACAGUGUACCAGGACUAACCAGUACCAUACAUGAUGGAUCAAUUCAGUUGCCUGCUGUAUACAGUGCGCCAUGAAAUGAGUCUAAUUAGUACUAGUAAGUGACAUGCAUCAAUAGGAAGGUCACUCAUUUGCAUUAGAGGGAAGGUGAAGAACUGACAGGUCGACAGACUGAGUUCUUGAAACCAAAAGAAAGAUUCAGAUGCAUCGUUGCAAAUAUCAUCCUUUUGUGAUUUCUUGACACUAAGACAAAGAUUUAGGAAAGCAAGAUCCCCAGUUGCUACUUUUAUAACACAAGAAGCGCCGAGGGAUUUGGCAAUGAGAGACGCACCCGUCCCUUGGAGAAGAAAGAAAGGCCGAGAUUGACACACGACUCCGCCGUCUGCGUCGCAGUCUCCGGAGAGGGAGGAGACGGGGGGGAGGAGGAGGAGGAGGAGGAAGAGGCGACGGGGAGGAGACGAGCCCGUCGGGAUCUGAGAGGGGUUUUGGGCGCAGACCAGGUGUUGGACUUCGGGCAGCAGAGGAGGUGCUGUUGGAGAGCGAGAGACGCCAUGGCCAUCGCAGCCACGAAAGAGGGAGAAGUAACGCGGAGGAAAAGGCGACGGCACCGCGCUCACAUUUUUCGCUUCCGUUAUCCGCACGAAUGUCACGGAAGCAGCACAUCGCGACCACCAUUUCUUUAGUCGGGUCGGGUCCGAUCCAUUCCGUUCCCGUGGAUCUAUACAUACAAGGCCCACGGAGAAUCUGGAUCCGGGUCUAUCUUGUUAAAGCCCGAACCCGGACCCAAGUUACCAAACUAUAAUAAAAGGAUAUAAUAAUAAUAAUAAUAAUAAUAAUAAUAAUAAUAAUAAUAAUAAUAAUAAUAAUAAUAAUAAUAAUAAUAAUAAUAAUAAUAGUAGUAGUAGUAGUAGUAAUUUACCUAACAAAACAAGGCCCAUGGAGAAUCUGGAUCCGGGUCUAUUUUACCAGCACCUAUUUUAUUUAACAUACCAAAAAUAAUCUCAAAAUCGGAUUAACCCUUUUUAUUAAAUCGAACAACUUGAUUUAAACCCGAUUGAUCCAAGGGUUAGUUUGGUUCAGUAUGAUUGUAGUCCGGGUCAAAUGGAUUUGGGUCAGAUCUUAUGAAGUUGAUCAAGUUAAGUGUGAAUCAAAAGGUAAAGAGUUUACACAAGGGUUAAACCGAAUUAGUAUAACCCUACUGUAAUCGGCAAUGACCAAUGCUCCUCUCUCUCUUCUGCUCCUCUAUGAUUACGGCAUUUCUCUCUCUUUGGUAACGAUAAACUUCUCUACUCUCUAGUGAUGAAGGACGAUAGUAAAGUUCUAUGCUUUUCUUAGACAUUUUAUGAAUGGUAGCGACAUUCUCCUAUCUUUAGUGGUGCCAAACUCUUCUGCUCCUCUACGAUGUUUGUGCAUCUCCUCUCCAACUAUAAAUGAUAGUAUCUUUAUCAGUAGCCAUAUCCUCUCUCUAGAGGUAAACUUAUCUCUUUUUUUUUUAAAUAGUAAUAUUCUUUGAAAUUAAUUUUUUUAUUAAUCUAUUAAGUAUGUGCACUAAUCCUAUUAACAUUGUGAGAGUCUUAAAGAGGUUUUUAUGUUUAUAUGAUAAAAACGAUUGAUUGUUCACUAAUUAUUGAUAUUUAUAUUUUUGAUGCAACUUAAGGGUUUUGUUAGUUUUUGGUGAAACAAGGAGAGAUUGAUGUUGUAAAACUAAAAGGUCUUUGUUGGUGAACUUUUUAUUGUUAAGAUGUCAAAAUCUUGGGUCUGAAUCAAUAAGUUUAGGUGAAGCAUUCAAGAGAAACAUGGUUAUAUUUGCAACACCUUCUAGGAUUAUUAUUGAUAUUUUUAAUGUUCAUGGUGAGUUUUGAGUUGAUUAAUUCAUGUUUUUUUAAUUACAAACAAGUGUGAAAUUGUAAAUAUAGUUUUCUCUUAGAAGAAGUAAUAUUUUUCAAACCUUGUUUUAGUGUUUAUAUAAUUAUUUUAGAGGGUUUCUAAUUCUUAUCUUAAUUGAUGAAAUUGGGUAAACACCCACUUUUUUUUUGCUAGGUGAAAAUAAUUUAUAAAUAUUAAAUAUUUAUACAAAUUAUUUUCUUUGAUUUUUUUUAUAUUUGCUUAAACUUUAAAUAUAUAUCUCAUAUUUAUAAUAUUUAAUUUUAUAUAUAAAUGGAAUGAUGUCACUACGUAGAUUCCUUCUACUUAGGGAUAAGGAGCAUUUCAUGUGGCUACUACAAGUAAUAUAUAUCAUAAUUUUAUAAUUUAUAUUAAAUAUUAUUAAAUUAUAUAUGAUUAAUGUUAUUUUUAAAUGUAAAGUAUAAGAUGUUUGAAAACUAAUUCCUCCAUCUUCACCCCCUUUGGCCAUCAUAUGCUACCUCAACUAUCACAUUAUCCCCUCUAUAAUAUAUAAUUAAUAAUCAUUAUUACAUAUCAUUUUAGUUAAUGAUCUUUGUUAUAUCAUUCAUUUUAGGUAUUUUGUCUAGGAACCGAGUGGUAAGAGUUAAGGUCGCAUGAUGUUGAGAAAUAUAAGGCGACAUCAAUGUUUCUUAUCGUUAUGCGUAAAAACCUACGAAAUAAAAAAACUAUGUGUAAGAGAAUUACCUAGAGAAAUCAUAUAUAUAUUCAUGAAUUCCUACAGAUCUAUGAGAUUAGAUGAAGGAGUUCAAAUGCCCUCCUCUCUAAUAAUGAUCCAUAUAGCAGGGGCUGCGACGAUGCUCCUAAAAUCACUACUCAAAUCUUCUCAAUGUGCGCACCAUGCACUUAAGUAAGAAGGACUCAAGUAAGGUCAGCCUUUCUUGUUGUCCACACGUCCCAAACUGGGGCUGCUAGCUAAGGAGAGGAAGAAUAGGAGGUGGUAGCUAAAAAACCUUGCUUAUGACCCUUUGGUUCUCUCCUAUUUAUAGAGGUCCUUUGUCAACUUAACCCUAAUGGAUCUUGCUCUAUUAGGUAUUAACUGUAGAUGUACUAGGCUACUACACCAUAGUCCCCAAACGAUAUAGGGGAAUCUAAUUCUUUGGACCUAUCUAUUCUCAAUUAUCAUGUAUCUAUAGUCCCUCAUCCAUAUAAUAUUUCAGAGACCAUAUAUCAGACAUAAUGCUGUCAGGCUCAUACGAUUUCUCCUUGAGUCUUGGUCUAAUCGGAUUCUCUUGGAGAACUCUUUCUCUCUCAAUCUAAAUGACCUUGGCCAAGGAUUUCUCUAAGCAAGAACAUAUGAGAUAUUCCUCUCAUGAUAUCGAGAGUGGAUGAUCCUCUAUCGACACUUAAUAACCAUCAUAAGGUUAGCUACCACUUCUUAUGAUCGGUUGUGCUAGAUCUGAAACUUUUAAACCUAUAAGUUUGGUAUCAAAGAGUGGAGUACUCAUACAGGACAUACUUGAUGUCUCAAGUCUAAGGACCAAGUACACCAUUGGGAUGACAAAAUCACUGUUUGAUAAUAAGGUAUCAUCAACCAUCUAACAUUUCGUGAGCGGAUUAAUCAGUGAACUCAUUCUCCAAUGAGCACCUGCACUAUAGCCUUAGUGUCCCCACACGAGCAACUAUGAGACCAGUUGCUUCCAUCAUAUGAACGAGUAUACAACACACCAGCAUAUCCGGUUAUCUCAAUAUUUCUCUCGAGUAACCUAUGAUCAGAAUUAUUUAAGGUCUGUGUUUAAAGGUGAAUCAAUUUCAUUAUCGUGAUCUCAUUACGAUCCGAUUCUCAUUGCACAGAUUUAUGGACAUCACAAUAUAUUUAUGGAUCAAGCAAUAUAAAUUGAGAAAAUAUCAUAAUAAUAAUAAGCAAAAAGACUGUAUGUCAUGUCACACAUAUCAUCACUCACAUGAUUGACUUACAGGGCACCUAUGACAAGCACAUGAUAUCUAUUUCUCCUAUGUUAUAUCAUCUUCAUAUUCUUAGGAUGAUACCUUUUUGUUAUAUAGCAAAUAUUCCUAACAUUCUUACAUAUUAUUAUUUUUAUAUAUUAUUUUACAACAUUAAGAGAGAGAUUCAAUUUUAAUUUUGGCAGUGUUUUAGUUGAAUUUAGCUUGAGUAAUAUUUCUAUAGUUUUGAAGGUUUCUAAUCGUAAACAAGUCAUAGAUGUUAAAGCAAAGUUCGGGUAUAUGUAUGAGAAAUACUUUAAUGAUCAAUUUUAUAGGAGACAAAAUAUUAUUGACUUAAGGUUGUAGUUGAUAAUUUUAGAAUAAGGUAAUUAUUGAUUUAAGAGUUCAUUUAGAGAUAUGGAUAUGCUUUCUAUAAUUGUUAUUGUUAUAUAUGCAUGUUAUAGAUGUUGAAUCUCGUAUUUUGAUGAUGAAAUCAAUUGAUAAUUAUGUUUAUGUUUUAAUCUGCGUUUUGAGUGAUGCAGGAUGCUUCGAUUAGGAUAAGACAAUUAAAGCAGGAAAAAUCAUGUUGGGCCGGAGGAACAUAUUAGAAGAUUGGAUGUCGGGCCAGUGGAUCGGUCGACAUAUCGACAGAAGACUUCGGGCCAUGGAUUCGGGCAUCGGGCCAAGAAGAGCGGACAUUGCGCCAAGGAUAUCGGAGCUGUGGAGUUAACUGGUCGAUUGGACAAUAGACCACAAGAGAGGACGAUGUGCCGAAGAAUCAGACGAAGCGUUGAGGGACCAAUGACAUACCGGACAACUUGAUUAAUGCUUAGUAUUAAUUUUCUAAAUCGAAGUUUGUUUUACAUGUGGAGAAUUAACUACGAUGGAAGUAAGAUAUGCAGCAGGAGUUACGCUAGAGUCAAGACCAUGAUCAUGUUGGGGGUUCGAGAGUUCGACGGAAGUCCGGACGGUCGUCGGAGGUUCUGUAGGAACAAAUCCGAGAAGUCUAGGAGCUUGCCAAAGAGGAUCGUCGGAACUCGCCAAGUAGAUUGUCGCAAGUCCAGGAGUUUGCCGGAAGUUCGUCGGAGCAUCGCAGAGGGUUCAUCGGAUGUUCGCCGGAAGUUCGUCGGAAGAAGCGAUUGACGCACCGGAGCAAGUUGUAGUAUUAAUGUCUUAAAUAUCAUAGUUAGCAUGUAGAUUAAGUUAGGAAUGAUCAGUGAUCCCAUUAACUUAAUCUGAGAGCAAUUGGGCCCUUGACAGACCCAAAUUGGGCCGAAUGAAUCAGCCCAUUCAGACCCAGAAUUCCUGCCAGGCGGUGACACCGCUAGGGCCGGCUGUGGCACCGCCCAAGAGUCUUGGUCUCCCAGGAAUUUUGGGUGAUAGUACCACCCAAUUAUGAUGGUAGUACUGCUAGGACCUCGAAAAACUAGGAGAUUCACUUUUCAACUCCAAAUUCAAGCCAGUUGGGGCCUAUAUAAACCCCACCCUUUCCUGCAUGAAAGAAAAAUCGAAAGCUUGAUCUUACUCUAUGAUUUUAGAGCUCAAAAGUAUUGUAAAGGCCAAAAGUUCUCCUCCCUCUUUUCUUCCAAGUUUUGAUCAUUCAAGAGAGGAGUGAAAAUUCUGUAAGGGUUGUCUCUUAAGCCCGUCAAAAGGAGUGAAACUGUAAAAGGGUGGUUGGCCUUUGCCUAUUGAAGGAAGGCAUCUAGUAGACGCCGGUGAUCUCGUCGGAGGAGGAAGCCGAAAGUGGAUGUAGGUCACGUUUGACCGAAUCACUCUAAAAUCUAGUUUGCAUUUCCUUUGUGCUAUUUAUCUUAACUGUAAACUGUCUUUCUUACUUUACUUCAAAUAUGUUUUCAUAAGCUUUCAAAGUUAUUAUUUGCACGAAAGGACUUUUACAUCGGAAUCAGAUUUCAACGUACGAACGCAUUUUUAAUCAUCGAAAGUUUUCUACUGUACUAAUUCACCCCCCCUCUUAGUGCUUUUGAUCCUAACAAUAGAGGUAUGUCAAGCACUCAUCCCGAUAGUUACUGAGUCUCAUCUACUGAGAAUACCAAGGUAUAAUAAUUUAGUAUUUUAUAUUUAUAUUUAAAAUAUAUUAUUUAUUUAAAAUAUUAAACUAUUUAUAUGACAAAUAUGCUGGUGAGAAUUGUGUCGAGUGUAAAAAGAAAAAAAUAAAAUUAAGAUUAUGGACUUGAUCAUCUUGUGACCCCAGGAAGAAUUGUUCAUUUGGAUCCAUUAAUAAUCAAUUAGCUUCCAUAGUGUGUUAAGGAUUAUCAAGGUCUACUCCAUUGAUUCCAAUAUCUUUAGUACCAUUUUUUCUUUUUUUUUCUUUUUUUUAGGAUGAUUAAUUAUCCAAAUAGGGACUUAUGUUUUAAAUUUAUGAUCAAAUAUAGCUCGAAUACAACGUAAGUGUAACUUAAGAAAUUUUUACCAACUUAUUCAAACUUCUAUAUAACUAUCAUUAAAUGAUUCUAAUAUGUUUAGCAUCACUUUUCUUAAAUUUUUUUUAAUUUUUAGAUGAUUUUAGUAAUUACAAUGUUAAAAAAGAGAAUUAUAGUUCUAGGAGAUACUACCGCUUGGUUUAGGAUGAUACCAUUACUUAUGGUCAGUAGAUAGUGGAUAUAGACCAUACUAUCGUUUACUUAGUGGUACCAUUACCAUUAAGCAAUAUUAUAUUAUGAUUGAGUAUAAAGUAAGUAUAAUUUCAAGUUAAAUUUAACUAAACUAAUCGAAACUUAUCUACAACUACUAUGACAUGAUUGUAAGAUGAUUAAAUUAUUUUUUAUAAUUUUAGUUGAUCUUAGUGUAUUUAAUAAAAUUUAGCAUAUGGUGAUUAGAAUGUUAGAUUAUAAUCAUAUCCAAUUCAUAACUCAAGUGUAACUCAAAUAAAAAAGAUUGUAACUAAAUUAAAAUCCACUAUGAAAAUUAUAAAAAUGAUAACAUCAAUUCAACUAAAACAAAAAUACAAUAAGGAUCAUAACAUCAAUUAUAAAAUGAUAACUUCAAAUUUAAAAUUAGCAAAAUUUUAUAUUAUUUCAUAAUGUUACAACAUAGUUGGCAAAAAACUAUAUAGAUAUACUAUAGGCAAAAAAUAUCACCUUAUAUUAUAGCUAAUGUAAAUAAAAAAAAACCAAAAUUAUACUAUACCUUAUCUUUGUGUUUCGAUUCUAUCAAUAUCUUCUUACUUCUAACCUAAUAAUACCAAAUUAGAAAGAUAUAUAUAAUAUAUUUUUAUUAUUACAAUAAAAAGUUAAGGUCCAUUUUAGCUCCUAUGAUUUUGACCAUGGAUCACUUAAACCCUUACGAUUUACUCGUGUCUAAAAUAAACCUUAUAUUUUCAAAAAUAUAAUAUAUAAGCCCUCCCUCCCCCGUCAAGUUUAAGUUAAUAAAAGUUAGAGUAUACUUACGUGGUUUGUUGACUCAUAGUAAACCAUUAAUAUAAUAACAUAUAUAAUUUUAGUUUAAAAAAGAGUUAAGAUCCAUUUUAAACUCUGUGAUUUUAGCCAUGGACCACUUAAGCCCUUAUAAUUUAUUCGUAUAUAAAAUAACUCUUAUAUUUUAAAAAAUAUAAUAGAUAAGUCCCUUUCGUCAAGUUUGAGUUAACAAACGUUAAAAUUUGCUUAUGUGGUAUAUUGACUCAUAAUACAUCAUUAAUAUAAUGAUACAUGUAAUUUAAGUUAAAAAAAUUAAGACCACCAUCAAUGAUGGGAGAAGGUGCCGUUGUAGAAGCGACCACCAAUAGUAGCACUGAGCCACUACUGUUUAGCAGGGCAUCAUAUGCACGUAGCCUUUCCUACGCUGACGAUGAGUUCAGGAGCUUCCAGUCCUGCCUUAGGUGGAUAUGCAUCGACUAGUCCAAUGCUAAGCAUGCAAUAGUCUCGUGACCCCUCUUCCUCCUCUUCAACAUUUUCAUCCGUACCACCUCCCACUUCAUCCUCUCAUAUACCCCCACUUGGCUUCUCCUAUCUCCUCUCCGUUUUCGUCCGCCGCUUCCUUUUCCUCGACAAGAUGGACUUUAACGGGAGAGGCUUACAUGCUACGUUUUUGAAAAUGUAGGGAUUAUUUUAUAAAUGAGUAAACUAUAAGAGCUUAUGUAGUCUAUGGCCAAAACCACAAGGGUUAAAAUGGACCUUAAUCCUAUAAUGAAUGAUUCGACAAUACACCGAAUGAUGGGUUGAUGCAAUUAGCGCUUCAAUGACACAACGAAGAAUGAUGUUAUAGCUUCAUCGACACUGCAAAUAUUUGACCAAUAUAAUAGUCGGUCAUAUACUGAUUCCAAAAGGGUACAUAAAGCUAAGUGAGGUUAUGGCAACAAACCAUUAAUCACCAAGACUCUAUAAGGCUUCGUCAACAAUGAAUAAUGACUAGCUCUAUUGGUUUGCUGAUCACUUAGGCUCAACAAUCGACCAGACAUCCUAUUGGUGGGAAGGCAAUGGUAACCUCUUACCUCGGCAAUCAUUGACACUCACUCAGAUGGUGACGACAACCUCCUGCCCCAUCGACGAAGACCAUCCGGACCAUCGAGACGACAAGCACAUAAUUUGUAAGGUCAAAUAUAUAGUUUAUAAAUUAAAAAAAAAAGAGAAACACCUAAAUCCUUGAAAAAUAUGCAUACUUUCAUCUAUUGUCACAUAAAAUAAUACAUAUUUUUAUAUGACUAAAUCUUAUAUUUUUAAAUUUUAUUCUACUAAUUUGGUAAGAUAUUAUAUAUUUUUUAGUUCUUGAUUUUUAUCAUGCUGUCCAGUAUAUUAUCUCACCCUAUUGUAAAAAAUUAGCUCAUUUGAUACGAAGUAGCCUUAAGUGUUUAACAAAUGGUAUCAUCUAUAACAUUUAUAGAUAAUAUCCACAGGGUUUCUCUUGAUGGUUUUAGGAUUCCAAAGGAGCCCAUGACAUCCUCCCCUCCCUAUAACACCAUUUCUCAUUUCUCCGCCCAACGUAUGCUGUUCUUGGAAUGACACCACGUAAAGUGUCCUUUAAAGUGCUCCCCAACUGUUCAUGGAGAGGCGUUCCGAGAAGAUGCAGACUAAACAAACUUGGCCGUGCAUGGCGGACGCGACAUCGAGACGUAAACACCGGGGCUGUCCACAAAAGCACACUCGCAUGGCCCCAUGCGAUGGUGUGGGAAAGCCAAGAGAUGUGUGGCGAACGCCACUGGAACCGUCCUCCAUGGUCAAGAAACACUGCAUGGCCUUAGUUACUGUGACGGAGUGGUUGAGGUCAAUGGAUUCCCCAGUUCUUCUUGCUGGCGAUCCCAAUCCCCUUCCCUGCUCUACAACAGUUCAGGUGACUGGGCAACCCAAGAUGAUCAUGGUGCAUUAAAUCUCCAUCUACUCUUCAUCUUUCCUCAGAAUGCCAUAACUAUUCAUCUCAGACACAGAAACAGAACAUGAAGAAGACCUGCACUUCAUGAACCUUUCAUGCUCGUCUGAUGCACCGACACCUGCUGCUUCUCCUUGUAUUUAUGAUAAGUUUCAGGGCGUGUAAGAUGCAACUUUGUAUCUACUCACUGAAAGAAAGAUAAUACUGAGCUACUUCAGGCUUCAAUCAAAGAUGAGUCAACAUAGUCAACACGAGACCUUUGAUGUUUGUCUUAAUUGCUCAAAGAAUAUAUCUGACUUACUACAUACAAAUGCAUCGACCUGCGUGACAUCCUUUCAUGCACACAAGCUGAGGCCCCCAUGGCGAUGUAAGGACAGUGGGAGAGGACACUGGAAGUUCUUUUCAUAAUGGAAGGCCAGGAACAAUACAUAAACAACAGGCAGAGAAGUUAGAGAAGACUGUGUUGCCUGUGUGCAGCUUGUGGACUCACAUGUGUAUCAAAGGAAACAUCAGCUUGGUGAGUGUUGAUUGCUGCUGCCAUGAACUGAAUCAACAUCCCAUCCCCUAAAACAAAUGCAAAGAAACUCAAUAGCAGUUCUCUUCCACCAUUCACACAAUGUAGAACACAGAACAAAGUCCAAAAGGCUCAGUUCAACUAAGUUGCACUUGCUAAAGUAGUAUAAGCUUAGCACUCACACUCCUCACAAUACCAUAAGUAGUCUUAGAGGAAACUACUUGGAGUUCUACUACGGCGCAGUGGAGGUGGGGAUCGUGUCCGUCACAUGAUACUGCAGGCACCGCUGUUCUCGUCGCUGCAGGUGUAGCACGAACAUGGCGAUGCGGUCGAGUAGAUGUAGCUGCUCUGCAGCAUUGGCAGCGCCGUGUAGUACGCUCCGCCGUGGCUCAUGCUCGGCUGCAUCGAGUUGUAGCUUACCAAGUAUGAUGGCAGCUGAGAUGUGGUGUACACCGGAAAAUUGAACGUUGGUGGGAUUGCAACACCGCCGCUUGCUCCUGCUUUCUUGCUGGCUUCCUGUGGAGCUACUUCGACCUCAGUCGCACUGCCGCCGCCGCCACCACUUGCGCUUCCGCUUUUGUUGUCGUUGUUGCUGUUGCUGUUUUCCUUCUGACCCUUCUUCCCCUUCUUCUUACCACCACCUUCAGUGGCGGCAGACUUGUUGCCCUCAUCCUCUUUCUCAGGUGGCGGAGGAGGCUCCUUGCUGCCAUUCUUGGAGGCUUCACUCUCUGGUUUAUCGGAAACUUGGGUGGAGUCAUCUUUGCCAUUAGACACUUGACUGUUAUCAAUGUUCUUUGAUGGCUCCAUGGGCUUGUUGUUCUUGCUCUUCUUGUUGUUGCUGCCGGCGUUACUGCCGCCACCGCCACCGGUUUCCAUGGGCUUCGUCUCGGGCCAGAGUUCAGCAUGUUUCCCAGCCUUGAGGAGCUUCUUGAUGAGGAUCUCAGCAGCGACGUUGCCGGUGACCACCACUUUGUGCUGCUGGGGGUCGACAGUCGUCUUGUAAACCCCUGAAGAACCUCAGGAAGAUACAUAAGUGGCUUUUGAUGAGGCAAGCGAGGGAAACAAGGGAGAGAACAAAGAGAUGGAGUACUCCAAUGUUACCUUCCAUGCUUUGUAGGACCUUCUUUACUUUCUUCUUGCAUCCUUCACAGUGGAUGGAGACCUUCAGAAUCAAAGUCUGGAGCAUCACCAAAAUCCAAAACUUUGCCUUCACUCCACACACACACACACACACACACACACAACCUUCACAGAAAGAGAGAAAAGCAGGGGACUGGGAAUAGAAAUGUACCUGAUAUUUCAGUGUUUCAGAACACUCUUUAGCUUCUGCCAUGAGUAAAAGUGGAGUUCCGAAGAAGGGUAUCAAGGAAAGCAGAGAUGGAAAAGGGAGGAGGGGAGCGCGAGAGUGAGCGUUGCUGCUGUGGAGGUGGUGAUCCUGGCUUCUAUCAUAGAGCUGCCCCCCAUGAUAAGUGGGUGCCAACAGCAGUGGACAGGAGAUGGUAGGCUUGUAACUAUUAAUCACUCGUAUCAUCUUCAGAUGAUGACAAUUACACCCCUGUAAAUAAGUGGAUGCUAGUCUGGGAUUUGAACCUGGGGGAGACACUGAUUCCUUUGAUCAAACUGGCUCAUGAACAGUGCCUCUCAUGUUCCGGUAGCCCUCAGAAGUUCCCAUAUUGUACCCAUUUGAUCUGUGACAAGGACCGAUGGUAUUCGGUGGCUGCAGGUUUCAUGAUAGUGACUUAAAUUUUGAUCAACCAUCUUCCAUCGUAUGCAACUGCAGUGGUUUGUAAAGGACAUGAUGAUGCUGUCACUCUCACUUCCUCUUCCCUGACAGCAUCCUCAGGAGGUGAGGAAGAUGAAAAAGGCCGUCUUAGGUUGGGAUUGAGCCUGUGACAAGGAAUUAGAAGAGGUUUAGGAGAGCUACAAGAGGCCACUAAAAGGAUAUAUUAACGAGGAAGAGACACCUUCAUGCUGUCUAAUGAUUUGUAUUAUAAAUAUUUUGUGCUCUGAAAAAUAUAAUGCCACCUGAAUUUAGAGUCAAUAUAAGCUUUACUUUUUGAAAAAAUAUAUAUAUAUUAUAAUUUGAUGAUUAACAGAGUAAUAUUAUCUUCUUUUUGGAAACAUAGUGUGCAAAUAAGAGAGAAAAUAACAGAGUUUUGUCUCUUAUGUAUAAAUAAAUAAUGUUUUAAGUCAGAGAUUAUACUGAAAAAUCAAGAAGAAAAAGGGUAACAGACGCACACCAUUAAUGACUUCCUUCUCACCAUUAUUGCAUAACUCCAUUCAUCCUCGCUUGCCUGCCAGAAAUUAAAGGAUCUGAGACUGUAGUUUUCAUACAUUGAAUCGCUCAAGGACGUGGUUGGUUGGUCGACAAUAAAUACUCACAUUUUAAUCUUGGAUCGAAAAGGACCCAUGACAAUUCAUGAUGCCCCAUUAUCACAUGCACCAUUAUGACCAACUAUUGAUGAUAAGUCUGUACUUUUGAUAAGUCUGUACUUUUGGCAUCAGUAAGGGAACCAUUUACAACAUAAGUCAUGUGAUUGUUGGAGCCAAGAAGAAGAUGCUGCACAAAGUUGUCCUACUGAUAUUGAGCAAUAAUGAUAGUUCAGGACACCGAGAUUUUAUCGAUAUGGGGUAUACGAAGGAUCAAUGUACGUAGUCUUCACUCUACUCUCCGAGCGCGAAAAGAUUAUUGUUCAUGGUCGAUGUCCUUAUCAUUCGGGUCGCAGAAAAGUAGCCUUAAAUGAGUUGGAACUUUGCAUUCGCUCUCUCUUCUCACUUAUGAGCUUAAUUCAUGGAGUCAUCCUGCUAUAGUUGUUACACUGGAAUACUUUAUGGAUUCCUCAUAGCCAUAUAUUAUUGUAUAGUGAUCAUCUUUGCUCGUUUUCUGAUCACAAAAAGGAAUUGUCUGUGUUGAUGCUAAUCCUAAAGUUGGUGAAACGGUGGUAAAUGUGAGAUUCAAAGUUUGUCAAGCAAGAAGGAACUCAAAAUAAAAGAAUAGAAGAUGAUGUCGCAUACAAAAAUUUGCUAUAGAGCUUGCUGAGUUCAAUGAACAAAACACUCGUCUUUUCUUCCUCAGACAAAUCUCAGCUCUCACCUUCUAAGUAAUGUUUGUAUCUGGUGGUAUUAGUGCUUGAAUCUUCUGAAUGGCACCAUAAAGAUAGCCACCAAAGCAUACAUUCACAACAAAAUAGAUUAGAAGAUUCAUGAUAUGUCAACCCCCUCAAUAAUUCUUAGAGUUCUUUGGCAGAGAUCAAGGGAAAUGCUUGGUUGCUUGUAGAACUGCUUCUUUAGGCACUAAUUGGUGAGCCAUUUGCGACGUUCAUCCUUAUUUAAUUUCUUAGAUGCUCAAACUAAGUUGCAGUAGCAGUGACUCUGGUUGUAACUACAGAAGAACCAGAAAUAACAAGGAAGCUUCAACAACUGACCUCAAUUUGUUUUAGAUAACCUACUGUCUACUGUUAAUCCCACUGUGGAUCGCCUUGCAGGAUGAUGACUCUUCUCUGAAGUUAAAGAGUGUUAUGUGUACCUUCAUUUCUUGCACAAAAGGUAUUUGGGCAUUCAUCAGCUGCUGCUACUGCAGUGGCAAUCAGCUUUUGAGCAUGCAACCAAACUCCUGGGUUGGCCUUUUGGUUCAGAAUACAAUUGGCUUGAUCUGGUGAAACUGUCACAGAUGGGGUAAUGAGUCCAAACUAAUCAAUCUACUUUUAUGAUCAGCCUGCCACAAUGCGUCUGUUCAAUCUUUACAAGGGACCUGGAAAGAGUUAUAUUAAGUGUAACUUUGUGAUGUAAUCAGUGACCAAAUACUAUUCAGUUUUAAGAGCAUUCUGUACAUGAUGCUUAGGAGGAAAUAGAUGACUGUAGAUUUUACUUAGGUUUCAUGUGCAGAUACUUGCUCAUCUCAUCCUUUUCAUCUGUAUCUCUGGCAGCUUUCAGUACUCUUUUGGUCUCAUGCACUUGUCCUAUAAUAUAUGGAGCCAAAUGCAGCAACUUUUCAUGAGCAAACAAUAGAAACUUGACAAGCCAAAUGGUGGAGAUUACACAGCAGUUAGUCAUGGUAAAAUUACAUGUAGUUUGGCACUUGAGGUUGCAAGUGGAUGCAGGUUUGUAGAGAUUGAAGCACUCUUGGAAACUCCGAGUGGAGCUCUUCCUCAGCUUUCUUAUCUUUUGCUGAUACCUAAAAGCUAAGCUUUGACACUAACUUGCACUUUCCAGCCAUAUCAGCUUUGAACUCAUUUCAAUGCUGCUGCAGCCUCACAUAAACUGAUAUCUCAGUAUUUUUCUUCACCUGUUUAUCAUCAGCUCCUCUUCUCCAAUUCUCAUUCUAGUCUUACAGAUAUUUAUAUGAUUCGACAUCCCUUAUCUGAGUUAAUAUAAUUAAUAAAAAAAUAUUUUUAAUUGCAUAAGAAUAAUUAUAAUAAAGAAAAAUAAAAUUUAUUAAUCAAAACCUAAGCCCAAAGCAUUUUAUUCCAUCUCUCCUAAAUCUGAAAAUUUUUCUUGCUAUCUAAACACCAAAAAUAUUUUUAUUUUUAUUUUUUACACAUCAUAGUCUUAAAAUACAUGUGAUUAUAGAGCAAUCAGUCACCAAUCUUAUUGAAAAAUCAAACUGAUCCAUCAAAAUUUCUGCAAGUAUAAUUAUUAUUAAUUUUCUCUUUUCAAUUACAUGUCAAUCUCAACACUUUGACACCAUCAAUCAGUCUUCAGACUUCGGACAAAAUGCCUUACAUGCCUUGUUCACUGAAUUUAUUCUGACAAGAAAGAUUGCAGGAACAGCUGAUUAGAUCUGCAACUUCAAUGCCCAAAUGCAGUGCAGGUUGUCAGUAAUGAAUGACUCUCUAGCUGGGCAGAUUAUUGUCCAUGAACUGUGAUCAAUGAGCUGCUAAGUUGCCAGUGCAAGAUUUUUUUUUUUUUUUAAUUUUAUUUUAAUGUGUUGCAAGUUCUAAUGGUGGGUAAUAGUUAGCUGAUUUGAGAGCAGAUUAUUCCCUGAAGAUAACUCCUACUGCCCCUUCCAUGAGCUUUAUGGGAUUAGAUAGAAUGAACAGAUGUUGUACUGCCUUCUGGUUUUUGUUGUGAUGUCUUGUGUUCCUUUUGAAUAAAAAAAGAAAGGAACACAGAGAUGAAUGGAAAAAAGAACAAAUAUCAAUUUCUGAAUUUUCUUCUCUUUCCGCACCUGAAUAAUCUCAUUACAGCUAACCCAAACAAAGAUUUAAGAUCAUCCAUAUGAAAGAUGACAGGCAUUAUUAAGCUAAGUAUUUUUAUUUACUUACAAGAUUUCAUGUAGGAAAUGUAGCGACAGAAUAACCAAGUCUUACACCACUUUUUCUUUGGCUGGAUGCCAAGUUUAUUUUAGGUGAGCUUAUCAAGUUCUUCAUGAAGCUCUCAGAACAUACAUAUUUUCUGCUUUUAAUUUAGUAAUUGUUCCAGAAAUGGAAACUAUUUUCUUCUUAUUAUUAAGUAAUUGUUCCAGAAACUGAUACUAUUGAUUGCCAACAGAUAAUAAAUACAUAAAUAGACUGUCAGGAAAUAUAUUGGUGUGUGAGAUGAAGAUGGAAAGUUUCGUAAAAGAAUAAUCUCUCUAAUGUUUUGGAUCUCUAAUAAUGAGCAUAAGAACAUGAUUGCCUAGGCCAGUAUGACUACCACCAUAGAAUUUAAUAGCAAACUAGUGUAUCCAAGCUUCCAAGACUAACUGCAAACACAAUUAUGUGCAUCCAAGCUUAUAACAAUUUACAGCUCAUCCAAAUUGCCAAGCAUCAAAUGCGACCAUCAAUUUUUCAUGACAGUCAUAUAUGAGAUAAUCAAGAGAAUAAUAAAUUUGACUCACCAAAGAAAUUAUAUUUUUGACCAUUUUGAGGUCAAAUACACAAACAGGGUUCAGUAAUGGUGAGAAAAAACCACAAAAUGUAGUGAUAAUUGCAUUGAGCAGGAUAACAGGUUGCCUGUGUGCACAUUCCCCAUCGCCUAAACUUUGUUGACAAUGACAUCACGAUACAAUACAAUGUGAUAUUAAACCAAAUAAAUACUGGUGGCAAACCAUUCAGCAAGUUGACAAAGAUGUCAGUUAAAUCUAUCAUCAAGGUAAAUUUUUACGUACUGCCAAAACACCUACCACCGCAGAUGUAAGAAGCAAAAAGAUGCCGUCUCUGGAUAGAGCAUAUUCUUUCCAUGUUAGAGGUCGACUGAUUUGGUUCAAAACCUUCUGGAAUUGUAGUCUUGUUUCUUCAAUUGUGCCAGAAUUAUCAAUGACUAUAUUUGCCUUGGUCUUCUUCUGGUCCAGUGCCAUCUGUGCGUUAAUUUUAUUUUUGGCUUGUUCUUCAGGUAUGCCAUCUCUUGCCAUUAAGCGUUUUAUCUGGGUUUCAGGAUCAACCCAUACAACAAUAACAGGAGAUGUUUGUUGAUCCAUUUUGGUCUCAAACAACAAUGGGAUGUCUAGAAUGAUAACCUUUGACCCUUUUAUCCACAGCUUGAAUACCUCCCAAAAGAUGCCCGAGGAAAUAUAUGGAGCCAAUAAACUGCAGGUAGGUAAAAAGAAAAAAAAAAGUUAGAUAAAUUCAUGUGCAGUUUUGUAUUUCCACAUCCUCUGAUUAAAAGGAAAGACCAACAGGAAAAUUGAUUAUUUUAGCAUAUGAUCAAGCUGCAAUCCAGCAACAGGAACUGCUAUUAAUGUUAUUCAUGAAGUUGGGCAAGGGGUAGUUAUAAAAGAACCAGGUGUUGAAUUUUACUUACUGUAUAACACAAACAACUAGUAAGAAUCAAUAGAAGUGUCAAAGCGUGAGCCAAUCCGUUCUAUAUACUAAUUAAAUCCUUCAAUCCUAGUUGAGUGGAAACAGUUUCCAGUUGUAAUGCUCUAUUUGAAGUCCAUACCGGUUCAGAAGUUGGCGUUUUGCUGGAUCUGUAAAGACAAUGUGACCUAGCCGUGCUCUAUCAAUUUCUCCAUUCUCUAGUAAAAUAUCGUUCCCAAAUGCUUUUACUACUUUCUUCCAACCACCCGUUCCCUUCUUCACCACAUCCUGCAUUGAAGCACCAUAAUUAUCUAGAUAUCAAACCAUAACAAUCUGAUAGUUGCUUCAGAAAAAUGCGAGAAUUAUAAAUUGUUGCAUUAGGACAAACACAAAAUAAUCGCAAAAUGGAGUUCCCAAAUGUAUCUAUAAGUAUGAUGCAACAAAUUGGAAAAGUAACGCACAAAAGUAGUUCGGUAGUACUUGAUCACAAAUGAUGAGAAGCAACAUAAGUAUAAAUUCUUCCAUGUAAGAACAACCUACCUACGCAAGUUCCAAACCCCCGAAUCCAAAGAUCAAUGUAAAUAGUUAUUUUGUACAUUGCUGCAGUAUAAGAAAAAUGAUCACAAACGUAGUUGAGGUUUAACUCGUCAAAGAUUUACAAUGUAAUCAUUGAACAAGAGAGGAAUGUGGUAGAUUCCGUGGGCAGGAUUGGGUGGUUGGAGCAGGCAAAUCAUUUUCUUUUGCAGUAUUAUCAUUUCAAUCACUAGUACAAAAACCACAAACAUGAAUACAUCAGCAAGAAUGUUAAGAUAAAGGAGGCCAAAACAGAAAAGGUACUCAAAGUUUUAACUUUGUGCAAAGUGUAGAAUUUUCACCGCGAGUUAAAGUAUAAUAGAGUUACUUUCACAUGUACGUUCAGCUCCAUUUUUGUCCUUUCGACAGACUCUAUGAUCGAUAAGAAUUAGUGACACAACUCCAAAGCCACAUGGAGUCCCGUACGAGCUGGCACCGAUGAACAAAAAUCAAUUUGCAACACACAGAAUUAAGUCAAAAAUGUUAUUUCUCACAUAUAAAAUUGAGACCAACUAUAGUUUUGGACAUCAAUUUCAUCAUUCAUUUAAGACCACAGCAAAAAGGGCUGUACAACGCACAGAUGAAACCCUAACUAAUGAAGAGAAAUCAAAUCCAGAUGAAACCAAUAUCAAUUUCUACACAGCAAAAGUGCAAGCGAUCGUAAUUUUUACAAAGUUUAUUUCCACAAUGUUAGUAGCCAACAUCGACAAAUUAGAAGCAAAACGAGAAAAUUCAGGAUCUUUGCAAAGGAAAGGAGUGGUGGAUGUGACAAAUGCUAAAUGAAUUUACCCGGGCAACGACGUCGGCGUCGACGACGGGAACGCCUUCAGAUAUGAACAGAUUGGAGACCGUGCUCUUCCCGGACGCGAUCCCGCCCGUCAGUCCCACCAACCUCAUCUCCUCUCCGCAAUCUAAUCCGACAGAGGGUAAAACAAGGGAAAUAGGAGAAGAGGACGACGAAGAGGAAGAGAGAGGAUUCGCCCCCUUCUGCCUCCUCCGCGCGAGUGGCACGAGUCGCGGAGAAUCCUCUUUCGGAGACCCGCUAUGGAUGCCACAAACAUCGCUUCCUGGUGAUUAGCAACUAACAUCGGGGUCCACCAGAGACCCGCAAUCGAUGCCAUUAGGGUAGAGGGAGGGUGAAAAGUGGUCGGGUGGGGAGUCAUGCCUCCACCUAGCGCUGGUAGGUGAGGUGGUGAGCCUUUUAACGGGUUGCUCUUUCGAGGCCAUAAGUGGGACCCUUUAGUGGAGCCAUCUCUUCCCCCAAGGCCAACGUUGGUAGAGAAGAGGGUGAUCGAGUAAUGGGUGAAUGAAUGCAUGGCUUAUCAAAAUUUUUAUCAACUAAAUUAAUUAUUAUUUUUUAAAAAUAUAUUAAAUACAAUAUUAAACCCUCCUUUAAAAAAAAAAAAAGAAUCUAAUACAUUAUAAUUAGAUCAAUAUUUAAUAUAUAAAAAUAUAUUAGAUAAGAUUUCAAACUUUUGUAAGUGAGUCUAGGACACUAAUAAAAUUUUAAAUCAAAAAAAUUAGAUAUAUCAUCAUUAAAUUAAUAUUUUAAAUAUAAAUAAUAUGUUAAUCGAAGUUUGAAACCCUCAACUUUAAAAUAUAUGGAUAAAAUUUCAAACUCCCAAUUUUGAUAAAAAAAAUUAAAUACAUAAUAUUAAUAUUUAAUUUUUUUAAAACUAAAUAUUAACUUUGAUAAGCUAAAACUCAAUUUUUAAAAAUUUAUUAAUAUUUAUAUACUCUCUGUUUCUAAGAUAAGCUAUGUGAUAUUAACCUCAACCUUUCUAAGAGGAUCUUGUUGUACCAUUACCUCUUUUACAUUAGCCCAUCAUUACAUCUAUUGGUAGCAUGACCUAUACGAUGUAGUUGUUACUUAGUAGAUACUUCUAACUAUGAUGUUUUUUAACACACCGGUUUUUAGCUGUAGGAUGCCCCAAACAAUCACCUUACAGCAGCUGUCGAUGGAGACAAAGCUGUCGGAGUUGCGUGUUUUUUUGGCUUUACAGAUUAAUGAGGAAGAAGAGCAGCUUUACUCGUUGCUUCUUCCUGCUGGGGUUAACGGACGCCAUGUCUGCGCAACAGCAGCAGCAAACAGAGCUGUUUGUGCACUCCAUCGGCAAACAUGGUUUUCCUGCACUCCAACUUGAAGGGAAAGAAAGCAAAGGGUCUUAUUCCAUGAGCAACGCUCCAAAGCGGAACACACACACCAAAGCGUUUCAGAGCCUCAAACUGACAGCAGCACUCAGACAACAACCCUCAGAAGAGCUUUGGGAACAGGAGUUCACUACGAGGUGGGCGUGCCGGUCGUCACCUUCUUGUACGCGGGCCGCGACGCCAAGCUCUCCCACCAGGCCUUCACAUGGGGGCGAGACUCGAACAGGGAAGCCUGGGGACCGGCUACGAUGUGGUGGGUGUAAGGAAUGUGGCUGAGGUCGGCGAAGCUGAGGAAGUCGCCGGCCAAGUACUUGGACUUGGACAGCCGGGCCUCGUACACGUCGAGCACCUUGCCCAGCUUCGCCGCGCUCUCCGCCACCACCUUCUCGUCCGGGACGCCGCCGAAGAAGACAGGUUUGAUCACGGUCUCUAUGUAGAUGGCGGAAAUCGCCUUGUCGUACUGCUGAGCCUCCACCUCCAGCCACACGUCCACCAUAGCCGACUCCUCCAGGCUGCCCUCCCUCAGCAGGUCAGGGCCCGAUGACUUGUACUUGCGCAGCACGUAUCUUGAGAUCGCUCUUGACUCUGAUCCCCCAAGUGUCAGCAAACGAAGGACGGGUAAAGAGAUACACACAGAAAGAGGGAUGAUGGCUCACCAAAAAGCAUGAGAUCUCCGUCCUCGAAGGCCGGCACCUGGCCGAAGGGCUGCCAAAAUCACACGAGACGGCACAUAAGACGCGAGAGAGAGACAGAGAGAGGAACUCCCCAAAGGUAGAGACUUACGUUUCUGGCGACGUGGGGAGGGGACUUGUGCUCGCCGGUCGAGAAGUCGAUGGGCACCAACUCGUACUCGGCCCCCAUCUCCUCCAAGCACAGAAGCACGCGCACCGUGGCCGUCGACAUCGCUGCUCCGUAUACCUUCACCGCCAUGACCUCUCUCUCUCUCUCUCGCUCUCU
rnacentral:lncRNA from 1 species